CCUACGGGAGGCAGCAGUGGGGAAUUUUGGACAAUGGGCGCAAGCCUGAUCCAGCCAUGCCGCGUGUGGGAAGAAGGCCUUCGGGUUGUAAACCACUUUUGUCAGGGAAGAAACGGCUUUUUCUAAUACAGAGAGCUAAUGACGGUACCUGAAGAAUAAGCACCGGCUAACUACGUGCCAGCAGCCGCGGUAAUACGUAGGGUGCAAGCGUUAAUCGGAAUUACUGGGCGUAAAGCGUGCGCAGGCGGCUUUGCAAGACAGAUGUGAAAUCCCCGGGCUCAACCUGGGAACUGCAUUUGUGACUGCAUGGCUAGAGUACGGUAGAGGGGGAUGGAAUUCCGCGUGUAGCAGUGAAAUGCGUAGAUAUGCGGAGGAACACCGAUGGCGAAGGCAAUCCCCUGGACCUGUACUGACGCUCAUGCACGAAAGCGUGGGGAGCAAACAGGAUUAGAUACCCUGGUAGUCCACGCCCUAAACGAUGUCAACUGGUUGUUGGACGGCUUGCUGUUCUAGUAACGAAGACUACGCGUGAGUAGACCGCCGNGGGAGGUACGGCCGCGAGGUAGAACGUACGAAGUAGAGUUAGAGCGUGAGAGNGCGACGGACGACGACGAGGGAGGAGG
rnacentral:rRNA from 1 species